rnacentral:piRNA from 1 species
UAAUAUUGCAGCCACAGAAAUACAUGA